rnacentral:rRNA from 1 species
AUUGAACGCUGGCGGCAGGCCUAACACAUGCAAGUCGAGUGAGCAGCGGACGGUUGAGUAAUGUAUGGGGCCUGCCCGAUAGAGGGGGAUAACUACUGGAAACGGUGGCUAAUACCGCAUACGGUCGGGUAACCCAUAUGGGAUAAGCGAGUAGGUGAGGGAAUGGCUUACCUAGACGACGAUCCCGAGCUGGUCUGAGAGGAUGAUCAGCAAAACUGGGACUGAGACACGGCCCAGACUCCUACGGAGGCAGCAGUGGGGAAGAUUGAAAAAUGGGCUCAAGCCUGAUGCAGCCAUGCCGCGUGUGUGAAGAAGGCCCUAGGGUUGUAAAGUACUGUCAGUCGGGAGGCGUUACCGACAGAAGAAGCACCGGCUAACUCCGUGCCAGCCGCCGCGGUAAUAC